UUGACCUCGGAUCAGGUAGGGAUACCCGCUGAACUUAAGCAUAUCAAUAAGCGGAGGAAAAGAAACCAACUGGGAUUGCCUUAGUAACGGCGAGUGAAGCGGCAAUAGCUCAAAUUUGAAAGCUGGCGCCUUCGGCGUCCGCGUUGUAAUUUGUAGAGGAUGCUUCGGCAAGGACUCCUGCCUAAGUUCCCUGGAAUGGGACGUCACAGAGGGUGAGAAUCCCGUAUGUGGCGGGCGGUCCAAGCCAUGUGAAGCUCCUUCGACGAGUCGAGUUGUUUGGGAAUGCAGCUCUAAAUGGGAGGUAAAUUUCUUCUAAAGCUAAAUACCGGCCAGAGACCGAUAGCGCACAAGUAGAGUGAUCGAAAGAUGAAAAGCACUUUGGAAAGAGAGUUAAAAAGUACGUGAAAUUGUUGAAAGGGAAGCGCUUGCAACCAGACUCGCUCGCAGUUGCUCAGCCCGCCUCUUGGUGGGUGUACUCUUCUGUGAUCGGGCCAGCAUCAGUUCGGGCGGCCGGAUAAAGGUGUCGGGAAUGUAGCACCCUUCGGGGUGUGUUAUAGCCCGAGGCGGAAUGCGGCCAGCCUGGACUGAGGAUCUCGCUUCGGCAAGGAUGCUGGCGUAAUGGUUGUAAGCGGCCCGUCU
rnacentral:rRNA from 1 species